ensembl:snoRNA predicted gene, 23353
UGGCCAAAUGACUGAAGUUCUUCAAACAAGGCCAAAUCUCUCAAUAGUGUUAAUUUUCUAAGAAGAUACAGUU